AGUGAACGCUGGCGGCAGGCCUAACACAUGCAAGUCGAACGGCAGCACGGCAGUAGCAAUACUGUGGGUGGCGAGUGGCGGACGGGUGAGGAAUACAUCGGGAUCUACCCUGUUGUGGGGGAUAACGUAGGGAAACUUACGCUAAUACCGCAUAAGAACUGAGGUUGAAAGCGGCGGACCGCAAGGCGUCGCGCGAUUGGAUGAACCGAUGUCCGAUUAACUAGUUGGCGGGGUAAAGGCCCACCAAGGCGACGAUCGGUAGCUGGUCUGAGAGGACGACCAGCCACACUGGAACUGAGACACGGUCCAGACUCCUACGGGAGGCAGCAGUGGGGAAUAUUGGACAAUGGGCGCAAGCCUGAUCCAGCCAUGCCGCGUGGGUGAAGAAGGCCUCGG
rnacentral:rRNA from 1 species